AUUCUAAUUAAAAUUUCAAGUAUGAGUUUAAAUUUUGCAUUUUGCAUUCCAUAUUGGCUCUACUCCCCCUUUUUGACAAAACUUGGAGUAAAUGCAACACAUAAAGCAUUAUGAGCAUAUACUCAGAUAUUUCUCCCCCUUUUUGACAACAUCAAAAAGAUAGUGAAACAUUAAUCACAAAGAUAAGAAUGCUCAAGGCAAUAAUGUUAGAAAAAAUAAAUGAGCAUAGAUCAGAGCCAUUUCAGAUAAUUUCAGAGCAAAUUAUGAUGAGAGCACAUCUAAUGUGAUUCCAAGGAUAGUUUUCAACUCAAGUGUAGAUGGAAU
rnacentral:lncRNA from 1 species